rnacentral:rRNA from 1 species
GUACGGGAGGCAGCAGUGGGGAAUCUUGCACAAUGGGGGCAACCCUGAUGCAGCGACGCCGCGUGAGCGAUGAAGCCCUUCGGGGUGUAAAGCUCUUUCGGCUGGAACGAUGAUGACGGUACCAGCAGAAGAAGCUGCGGCUAACUACGUGCCAGCAGCCGCGGUAAUACGUAGGCAGCGAGCGUUGUUCGGAGUUACUGGGCGUAAAGAGUGCGUAGGCGGUGACCUAAGUCUGGUGUGAAAUCUCCCGGCUCAACUGGGAGGGUGCGCCGGAAACUGGGUUGCUUGAGUGUGGGAGAGGCUAGCGGAAUUCCUGGUGUAGCGGUGAAAUGCGUAGAGAUCAGGAGGAACACCUGCGGUGUAGACGGCUGGCUGGACCACGACUGACGCUGAGGCACGAAAGCGUGGGGAGCAAACAGGAUUAGAUACCCCGGU